UACAGAGGGUGCGAGCGUUAAUCGGAAUUACUGGGCGUAAAGCGCGCGUAGCCGGUUUUGUAAGUCAGAUGUGAAAUCCCUGGGCUCAACCUGGGAACUGCAUUUGAGACUGCAUGGCUAGAGUAUCGAAGAGGGAAGUGGAAUUUCCGGUGUAGCGGUGAAAUGCGUAGAUAUCGGAAGGAACACCAGUGGCGAAAGCGACGUGCUGGACACCUACUGACGCUGAGGCGCGAAAGCCAGGGGAGCAAACGGG
rnacentral:rRNA from 1 species